UUAUAUGACCGCCAGACUCAGGCAAGUAAACUAAGAUCUCGGAAAAGUAUUCUAAAAAAAUCAAGGUCCAUCCCCGAAGCGCCAGAGAUGCACUGAAUAUACCUACGGCAAGCGACAGCUACCACAACACAUUUUGCCCCUUCAGAGGGAAUGGCUGCUGUGUAAUGAUGACAGCAGAGCCCGUACGCGCCCUGACACCUGCGCAACCCGAUACCCCACUCAUUUCCACUUCUGCUCCGAGGCAUCCGAGGUAGGGCAGCCGAGAGCGUAUUUAAGGAGACUACCGAAUGAGAAUAAUCAGUCUUGCGUCGAUCAAGCUCUAGGCUCCCUAGCCAGCCAGUGUAGUGAACAGGGCCAUCUAUGUAGCCAACCAUUGGAAAUACAAAAUUUAAAGUUGUUGGUCCGGACAUGGAAAAGUCUCCUCAAACAGAAUCGUCCUAUUUGAAGAUAAGUUCCUGAAACACUAUAUUUAAUAGUUUUAAAUAGAUUAAGACAUUGUACAAUAAGAUGAUUAAUGCAAGUAAGACAUUAGGAAAUGAAAUGUGUGAUGGAAAUAUUGAUGAAGGGGAAACCAUGAUUGAAAUGAAUAUUAUAAUCAAUUUUGUUCAAUUAAAGAAUGUCAUUUA